rnacentral:rRNA from 1 species
UACGAAGGGGGCUAGCGUUGCUCGGAAUCACUGGGCGUAAAGGGUGCGUAGGCGGGUCGUUAAGUCGAGGGUGAAAUCCUGGAGCUCAACUCCAGAACUGCCUUCGAUACUGGCGAUCUCGAGUCCGGAAGAGGUGAGUGGAACUCCUAGUGUAGAGGUGGAAUUCGUAGAUAUUAGGAAGAACACCAGUGGCGAAGGCGGCUCACUGGUCCGGUACUGACGCUGAGGUGCGAAAGCGUGGGGAGCAAACAGG